UCUACGGGAGGCAGCAGUAGGGAAUCUUCCACAAUGGGCGAAAGCCUGAUGGAGCAACGCCGCGUGAGUGAAGAAGGAUUUCGGUUCGUAAAACUCUGUUGUAAGGGAAGAACAAGUACAGUAGUAACUGGCUGUACCUUGACGGUACCUUAUUAGAAAGCCACGGCUAACUACGUGCCAGCAGCCGCGGUAAUA
rnacentral:rRNA from 1 species